GGGGGAGUAGCUCAGUUGGAUAGAGCAUCUGUCUUCUAAACAGAGGGUCGCGGGUUCGAGUCCCGCCUUCCCUACCA
rnacentral:tRNA from 1 species